rnacentral:rRNA from 1 species
AUACGGAAGGUCCGGGCGUUAUCCGGAUUUAUUGGGUUUAAAGGGAGCGCAGGCGGAGAUGCAAGCGUGACGUCAAAUUUCGGGGCUCAACCCCGUCUCGCGUCGCGAACUGCGUCCCUUGGUUGCGGGAAGGGGAGGCGGAACUCGGGGUGUAGCGGUGAAAUGCAUAGAUAUCACGAAGAACUCCGAUCGCGAAGGCAGCCUUCCGGCCCGUCAACGACGCUCAUGCUCGAAGGUGCGGGUAUCAAACAGGAUUAGAUACCCUGGUAGUCCGCACAGUAAACGAUGGACACCCGCGGUUUGGCCUGUAUGGCUGAGCCGCCAAGCGAAAGCGUUAAGUGUCCCACCUGGGGAGUACGCCGGCAACGGUGAAACUCAAAGGAAUUGACGGGG